rnacentral:misc_RNA from 1 species
UCAAACUUGGUCAUUUAGAGGAAGUAAAAGUCGUAACAAGGUCUCCGUUGGUGAACCAGCGGAGGGAUCAUUACAGAGUUGCAAAACUCCCAAACCAUUGUGAACGUUACCUUCUCGUUGCUUCGGCGGGCGGCCCGGGUCCUUCCCGGCGCCGGAUUCACGAACCACACCUCCGAAAAGAACGAUCCGGCGGACGCAGCUCCGCCUGAGACCAGUAACAACUUUCAACAACGGAUCUCUUGGCUCUCGCAUCGAUGAAGAACGCAGC